UGUGCGCUCUGAUAACGGGUGGAUUUGCUUCUCCGGGAGCGAGGCCAGAUAACUCCAUCCGGGAGAUAGCGGAGGAGCCUCCAGCCACAGCCGUAGAGGCCCAGUUCUGUUUGCCAAGCUUGUGGUUCAGAAAAGGCAAUGGAGAAAUGCAGCACGUGCAGAAAAAUGGUACUUAUACCACCGUUACCGGUCAGAGGGGAAAUGUGGGCUGCAUUGUAAGCCCAGUAGCUUAACGCUGUUAAAUCUCACUGGGAAAACCAGUGGUGUUUUCAAACUCUUCUGGACUGGGGAGGGGUAGUGGAGGAGGAUGACACUUUAGGGACUUAACAUGAUUUAAAACCACAAUAAAGCAAAGUUGGAAUUUUUUUUUCGGAAGCUAGAGGUAAUGUUUGUGGCUGGAAAUACAAUUUUGAACUUGGCUAUUUUUGGUCAUCACAGGAAAAUGAAGUUACUCACUGUCCUUGUUGUAGUUUGUCAGGUAAGUUGGAAUAAGUACUGGGCAUAAGAUCUGUUACAGAGUGCAAGGCAGAGCCAUCUGAAACACUUGCAGCUCAUCGAACCUGAAAUACUGAUGACCUGAGCAGAGUGUUGGCCUAGCCAGAAGGACAGAGCAGCAGCCGUGUGUGCGGUGGGUCACGCUCUGUUCAGUGCCUGCCAGACCGAGACACAUAGCUGUGCGAGGACGGGAGCUGCUGUCAUCUGGUCAGUCGUGGCUUGGAUGUGGAACAGCUCCUUGGCUGCCUGCUUGGUUGUAUAUGCAAGUUUCCAGGCUUCAAAAUAGCGAUCUUUCUGCUUAGCCCUAAGUCGAUCCAGUGAGAGCGCUGCCUUUCAAGGAUGUGAUCAUAUAUCUGUGGUUAGCACUGUACAAAACAGUUUUUCAUUAGUGGGGAAAUUAGUAGCGUAUCUUGACUGCAUUAAUUAUAGAGUGUAAGAAUUGCAGAAAAAUGCCACCAUCCAGAGAAGUGCCACAGCACUAAAAAAAUGCACUUGCAGAGCCCUCCAGUGGUGAGGGAGGGACGUCAGAGACAAAUGUCCUUUUGGUACACCCAAAGGGUGACUGUGGCAGUCCGUCCAUACUGCUUGGACUGCCACUGAGACCAAAAGUGUUGAAGCCCUAAGAGUGGAAUAAAGCUGAUGGUAUCCCUCCUAGCCGCACGCAGGUUCAGAUGCAGUCCCCAGGAAGGAGGCUCCUCACAUAGGAUGGCUAGGUCUCCCAAGCAUCUUACUGCUCCAAUUUCCCCACCCUGGGCACUUGCCAACUGUUAGCUGUAAGUGCUUAUUUCAACGUCUGAUAUCAGUGCUGGACUGCCAGAACAAAAGCAUACGAAAUCCACUGCGCUCAGCCUCUCUUGGAUGGACUUGUUCCUUGCUGUUUUUUUAGGCUUAGCGUAUGAUUUGCUGGAUGGGCCACAGAAAAUGGAACAGAGUGUGAGAAAUUGCCUACCUUUGCCAAUGAAAGCUGUUCUUCACCAUCUCUGUCCCCAGAGUGUUUAAGACAGUAAUCCAAUAGCAUGAAGUUGAAGAAAUAACUGCGCAAGGCACACAGUGAACACUUUGCAUGCUAUUGUUUCAUUUCAGUGAUCCAAGCUUGUUGGUUUUAAUUGCUAUUACAGAAGUGCAGGGAUUACUGUAGAGAAGUAUUAGUUGAUCAUUCCAGGCAUAUUGGUUUCCAGUGACAGGAGUGUUUAUGUCUGCUUAAAGUUGGUUUGAAAACAAGUCUGGUCCAGGCUGCAACGAAGCAAAGCCAGGUGUCUAGCUUAGCCGUGCUAAGCUACCUCAAUCGAUAAAAUCCAAAAGUGACAGCUGUUUUGCGUUGGCAGCGCAUAGGAAUCUUACUCAAAUCUGUAGGUGAAUUUAGCUUGAGUGGCUAACACUUGGUGAGAGAGGGAGGGCAGGA